AGACCCGAAACCCGGUGAUCUAGCCAUGGGCAGGUUGAAGGUUGGGUAACACUAACUGGAGGACCGAACCGACUAAUGUUGAAAAAUUAGCGGAUGACCUGUGGCUGGGGGUGAAAGGCCAAUCAAACCGGGAGAUAGCUGGUUCUCCCCGAAAGCUAUUUAGGUAGCGCCUCGUGAAUUCAUCUCCGGGGGUAGAGCACUGUUUCGGCUAGGGGGCCAUCCCGGCUUACCAACCCGAUGCAAACUGCGAAUACCGGAGAAUGUUAUCACGGGAGACACACGGCGGGUGCUAACGUCCGUCGUGAAGAGGGAAACAACCCAGACCGCCAGCUAAGGUCCCAAAGUCAUGGUUAAGUGGGAAACGAUGUGGGAAGGCCCAGACAGCCAGGAUGUUGGCUUAGAAGCAGCCAUCAUUUAAAGAAAGCGUAAUAGCUCACUGGUCGAGUCGGCCUGCGCGGAAGAUGUAACGGGGCUAAACCAUGCACCGAAGCUGCGGCAGCGACACUGUGUGUUGUUGGGUAGGGGAGCGUUCUGUAAGCCUGUGAAGGUGGCCUGUGAGGGUUGCUGGAGGUAU
rnacentral:rRNA from 1 species